UACAGAGACUGCAAGCGUUAUUCGGAUUCACUGGGCGUAAAGGGUGCGCAGGCGGCCAAGUGUGUGAGGCGUGAAAGCCCGGGGCUUAACCCCGGAAUUGCACCUCAAACUACAUGGCUAGAGCAUUGGAGAGGGUAGCAGAAUUCAUGGUGUAGCAGUGAAAUGCGCAGAUAUCAGGAAGAACACCCGUGGCUAAGGCGGCUCUCUAGUACGGUACUGACGCUGAGACGCGAAAGCGUGGGGAGCGAACAGG
rnacentral:rRNA from 1 species